CUACGGGACGCUCCAGUGGGGAAUAUUGGACAAUGGACCAAAAGUCUGAUCCAGCAAUUCUGUGUGCACGAUGACGGUUUUCGGAUUGUAAAGUGCUUUCAACAGGGAAGAAGUUCUGACGGUACCUGUAGAAGAAGCGACGGCUAAAUACGUGCCAGCAGCCGCGGUAAUACGUAUGUCGCAAGCGUUAUCCGGAUUUAUUGGGCAUAAAGGGCAUCUAGGCGGCUUAGUAAGUCUGAUGUGAAAAUGCGGGGCUCAACUCCGUAUUGCGUUGGAAACUACUAAGCUAGAGUAUUGGAGAGGUAGGCGGAACUACAUGUGUAGAGGUGAAAUUCGUAGAUAUAUGUAGGAAUGCCGAUGACGAAGGUAGCUUACUGGACAAUUACUGACGCUGAAGUGCGAAAGCUAGGGGAGCAAACAGGACUAGAUACCCCUGUAGUC
rnacentral:rRNA from 1 species